UAUUUUAGUUCCACCAUAAGAAUGUGAGAUGUGAAAUAAAGCCAGCGGCGUUCAGAGCAAACCAAGGAAGAUGAUUCUUCCAACAAUGUAUUAUUAAGCUGCCACGUGGUGUUACGGAUAGUGAAAACGUACAUGAUCUCGAAGGGUGACGGUUCAGAUUCCUGGAAGAAAAACAACUUAAGGACUGUUACAUAAAAAAAGAUAAUGUUUCUGCUCAAGAAGGUUUUGAGCUGCGUCUUACUGAGGUCUAGAAAAUAUUCUGUGGAGCUGUAGCUAUGUGCUUGCCUUCAUCUUCCUCAGGAACCUGCUGUUGGUCACUCUAAGGCUCAAAAUAGCAGGCUAGACAGACUCUCUUGCCACAGUAUUUUUCACUCAACGUCCAAGCUACGUUUAUUUCAGGAAUAUUUGAGGGUGCCUAACAGGAAAACAGAAAAAUGAAGAAAUAGACAGAUAUGUUGCUUAGCAUGCCAAGUUGGAAAAGGAGCACUUCCCUUGCUUUCAAUACAGGACUGAACUUGAUGGAGAAUCAAGAGAUUGUUUUUGCAACACAAAAUGCUGGAGCUAUGUGCUAACAGUUUUGCCAAGGCAUUUGAAAAACCAAAAUGUCUAUAGAUUUCUUCAUUGUGUACUGUUCUGCCUAAAAAGCAAAACACUAGGGGUAAAACACUUCCUCACUGAGGAUAGUGAAAAAUUUUGUUACUGAUUUUUAGUAAACCUUGGAUUACACUAGUAUUGGAAUAUCAUCUUUAUUCUUUUUUUUUUUUUUCCUAAGCAAAUAAUGAAUACAAGGCUCAAAAUUAUAACCAAAGUGGAACUUCUUAUUCACAAAUAAAAAUUUGGUCAACUUU